ACGCUAGCUACAGGCUUAACACAUGCAAGUCGAGGGGAAACGGCAUUAAGUGCUUGCACUUUUUGGACGUCGACCGGCGCACGGGUGAGUAACGCGUAUCCAACCUUCCCAUGACUAAGGGAUAACCUGCCGAAAGGCAGACUAAUACCUUAUGGUCUUCACUGACGGCAUCGGAUGUGAAGUAAAGAUUUAUCGGUUAUGGAUGGGGAUGCGUCUGAUUAGCUUGUUGGCGGGGUAACGGCCCACCAAGGCAACGAUCAGUAGGGGUUCUGAGAGGAAGGUCCCCCACAUUGGAACUGAGACACGGUCCAAACUCCUACGGGAGGCAGCAGUGAGGAAUAUUGGUCAAUGGGCGAGAGCCUGAACCAGCCAAGUAGCGUGCAGGAUGACGGCCCUAUGGGUUGUAAACUGCUUUUGUAUGGGGAUAAAGUCAGUCACGUGUGAUUGUUUGCAGGUACCAUACGAAUAAGGACCGGCUAAUUCCGUGCCAGCAGCCGCGGUAAUACGGAAGGUCCGGGCGUUAUCCGGAUUUAUUGGGUUUAAAGGGAGCGUAGGCUGGAGAUUAAGUGUGUUGUGAAAUGUAGACGCUCAACGUCUGACUUGCAGCGCAUACUGGUUUCCUUGAGUACGCACAACGUUGGCGGAAUUCGUUGUGUAGCGGUGAAAUGCUUAGAUAUGACGAAGAACUCCGAUUGCGAAGGCAGCUGACGGGAGCGCAACUGACGCUGAAGCUCGAAGGUGCGGGUAUCGAGCAGGAUUAGAUACCCUGGUAGUCCGCACAGUAAACGAUGGAUGCCCGCUGUUGGUACUUGGUAUCAGCGGCUAAGCGAAAGCAUUAAGCAUCCCACCUGGGGAGUACGCCGGCAACGGUGAAACUCAAAGGAAUUGACGGGGGCCCGCACAAGCGGAGGAACAUG
rnacentral:rRNA from 1 species